rnacentral:rRNA from 1 species
GAUGAACGCUGGCGGCGUGCCUAAUACAUGCAAGUCGAGCGAACAGACGAGGAGCUUGCUCCUCUGACGUUAGCGGCGGACGGGGGAGGAACACGUGAAUAACCUACCUAUAAGACUGGGAUAACUUCGGGAAACCGGAGCUAAUACCGGAUAAUAUAUUGAACCGCAUGGUUCAAUAGUGAAAGACGGUUUUGCUGUCACUUAUAGAUGGAUCCGCGCCGCAUUAGCUAGUUGGUAAGGUAACGGCUUACCAAGGCAACGAUGCGUAGCCGACCUGAGAGGGUGAGCGGCCACACUGGAACUGAGACACGGUCCAGACUCCGACGGGAGGCAGCAGUAGGGAAUCGUCCGAAAUGGGCGAAAGCCUGACGGAGCAACGCCGCGUGAGUGAUGAAGGUCUUCGGAUCGUAAAACUCUGUUAUUAGGGAAGAACAAAUGUGUAAGUAAUUAUGCACGUCGUGACGGUACCUAAACAGAAAGCCACGGCUAACUACGUG